GACGAACGCUGGCGGCGUGCCUAAUACAUGCAAGUAGAACGCUGAAGGAGGAGCUUGCUUCUCUGGAUGAGUUGCGAACGGGUGAGUAACGCGUAGGUAACCUGCCUGGUAGCGGGGGAUAACUAUUGGAAACGAUAGCUAAUACCGCAUAAGAGUAGAUGUUGCAUGACAUUUGCUUAAAAGGUGCAAUUGCAUCACUACCAGAUGGACCUGCGUUGUAUUAGCUAGUUGGUGGGGUAACGGCUUACCAAGGCGACGAUACAUAGCCGACCUGAGAGGGUGAUCGGCCACACUGGGACUGAGACACGGCCCAGACUCCUACGGGAGGCAGCAGUAGGGAAUCUUCGGCAAUGGACGGAAGUCUGACCGAGCAACGCCGCGUGAGUGAAGAAGGUUUUCGGAUCGUAAAGCUCUGAUGUAAGAGAAGAACGAGUGUGAGAGUGGAAAGUUCACACUGUGACGGUAUCUUACCAGAAAGGGACGGCUAACUACGUG
rnacentral:rRNA from 1 species